rnacentral:rRNA from 1 species
AGUGAACGCUGGCGGUAGGCCUAACACAUGCAAGUCGAACGGCAGCACAGUAAGAGCUUGCUCUUACGGGUGGCGAGUGGCGGACGGGUGAGGAAUACAUCGGAAUCUACUUUUUCGUGGGGGAUAACGUAGGGAAACUUACGCUAAUACCGCAUACGACCUACGGGUGAAAGCAGGGGAUCUUCGGACCUUGCGCGAUUGAAUGAGCCGAUGUCGGAUUAGCUAGUUGGCGGGGUAAAGGCCCACCAAGGCGACGAUCCGUAGCUGGUCUGAGAGGAUGAUCAGCCACACUGGAACUGAGACACGGUCCAGACUCCUACGGGAGGCAUCAGUGGGGAAUAUUGGACAAUGGGCGCAAGCCUGAUCCAGCCAUACCGCGUGGGUGAAGAAGGCCUUCGGGUUGUAAAGCCCUUUUGUUGGGAAAGAAAAGCAGCAGGUUAAUACCCCGCUGUUCUGACGGUACCCAAAGAAUAAGCGCCGGCUAACUUCGUG